AGAAUAUCGAAAUAAUUUGUGUAAUUGAUGACUUGUUUAUUUUGUGGAAAUUCAUGAUCAAUUUAAUGAAAAGAAUGAAACACUUUUGUUGUUAUAAAACGAUACUUCUUCCACGUAACUAUUAAGUAAGACGAUUGGCUAGUUGGCAACAUAGUUUCAUUGUACAGCUCAGAAGAAGAAGUAAAGGUAGGAAAGAAGAGUGUCUGUCUUCGAGAUUUGCAAUUUGUCAUUUGUCAUAUUACAUUACUGUUAGGUCAACUUAAAUAAAAAAAUAAUUUUGUCACUUCAUCCAAUCUACUUUUUGUUUUGACUUUGUUGGUUUGUUUCUAUUUCCUAACAAUAACAAUCUUUCAUCAUCUUAAUAUACCAAGGAAUAUGACAUCCCUAGAAAAAGUAAAAAAGGAAAAGUUAAGAAACCCAGACAAAAACGCAGUGCAUGCUGGAUAUAUUUUGAAAAUAUUGAUGGAAAUGAUUCAUGGAGACAAGCCAGGUAUAUGCAAUCUUAUACGUCUGUUCCAUCGGAAAGAGUGGACAACUCCUACGAGACCGUAGAACUCGCCUCAGUCCCAAGAGAGUUGGAAAAAUUAUAUUUUCAGCUUCAAAUUUAGAUUAAGUUUCUAGGUAUAUAUUUAGUUUAUCCAGAAUAAAUGUUUUGUUUUAUGUAAAUAUUUUAUUUCACAAAUUUAAUUAAUUUAAGUUAUGUUGUUACUUUUCGUUUUCCGAUUGUUAGAAUUUAUUUAAUUCAUUUAGGUUACUUUUUGUUUUCGAGUUGUGAGAAUUUGAUUUAUUCAGUAAUAUAUUUUACAUAAUGU